UUCCAUUAUACAGGUCAUGGCGGAAACCAUUCUAGGUUUUGGUAGCCCAAGCCCGGACCCACCCGUUGUCAGGAUUACAUCAGAAGGAAUUCCUAGUGAGCCCCAGGAGGUGGCUGUUUCCAGCAGAUCAAAAUCUUUGCUGAUUACCUGGAAGGAGCCGAG